rnacentral:rRNA from 1 species
CGCGUCUUAGCAUGCAAGUCGGGCGGCAAGCUGUAGCAAUACAGCCUAGAGCGGCGGACUGGUGAGUAACGCGUGGGUGACCUACCUUGGGGAUGGGGAUAGCCGUUAGAAAUAGCGGGUAAUACCGAAUACGUUCAUUUUACUGUGGUAAGGUGAGCAAAGGGGCUACGGCCCCGCCUUAAGAUGGGCCCGCGUCCUAUUAGGUAGUUGGCGGGGUAAGAGCCCACCAAGCCCGUGAUAGGUAGCCGGCCUGAGAGGGUGAACGGCCACAUUGGGACUGAGAUACGGCCCAAACCCCUACGGGAGGCAGCAGCUAAGAAUAUUCCGCAAUGGACGAAAGUCUGACGGAGCGACGCCGCGUGGAUGACGAAGGCCGGAAGGUUGUAAAAUCCUUUUGCCGCUGAAGAAUAAGCGGGGUAGGGAAUGACCCCGUGAUGACGUUAGGCGGUGAAUAAGCCCCGGCUAAUUACGUGCCAGCAGCCGCGGUAACACGUAAGGGGCGAGCGUUGUUCGGAAUUAUUGGGCGUAAAGGGCGCGUGGGCGGUCUUUUAAGUCUGGAGUGAAAGCCCGCGGCUUAACCGCGGGACUGCUUUGGAAACUGGAAGGCUUGAGUCAUAGAGGGGAGGCCGGAAUUCCUGGUGUAGGGGUGAAAUCUAUAGAUAUCAGGAAGAACACCGAUGGCGAAGGCAGGUCUCUAGCUAAUGACUGACGCUGAGGCGCGAAAGUGCGGGGAGCAAACAGGAUUAGAUACCCUGGUAGUCCGCACUAUAAACGAUGUGCACUAUGUGUCGGGGCGAGCGCUUCGGUGCCGAAGUUAACGUGAUUAGUGCACCGCCUGGGGAGUAUGCCCGCAAGGGUGAAACUCAAAGGAAUUGACGGGGGCCCGCACAAGCGGUGGAGCAUGUGGUUUAAUUCGGUGAUACGCGAGGAACCUUACCUGGGUUUGAAAUGCGGGGGAUGGUAUAGAGAUAUGUCAGCGUAGCAUACGUCCCCGUGCAGUGCUGCAUGCUGUCGUCAGCUCGUGCGUGAGUGUGGGUAGUCCCGCACGAGCGCACCCUACUGCAGUACAUCAUAGUGGGACUCUGGCGGACUGCCGUGAAANCGAGANGCGGGG